rnacentral:misc_RNA from 1 species
UCUGGCAGGCUGCCAGCCCACAUGA